UUACAUACGGUGGCAAAAUAUGAGUGUGCGUUGUAUCCCCCACGGUCAUAUCUGCGCUUUGUGAUAUCAUCCCUCUCCUUCGUGUCCGAUGUUCCUCUGGCUUCUUUGGUGGUCAUCAUAGUAUCCACCUCUGUCCGAAGGUGCUCUGCUUGAGCUGUAAUACCCAGAUGGACUGUCAGUUGUUGUGUGAUAGCAUUGGUGAUGUCCUUUGUCCUGCAUGCUUUGAUUUGUAAUUUGGGUAAUCAGUUGGGUGAGCUGGUCUCGAUUUAUUAUCAUGUUUUUAUUUUCUUCCUCAACUUGAUUAAUUCUCUGUCCUUCCUUCGUUUUUUGAUGUAGCAAGGUAGUUCUUACCUUUGUCAUUCUUUCUUGUUGUUGUUGUUGUUGAAUUUUCUUUCGUAUAUGGGGUGUCCUUCUGGGAACCCAUAGAUGAAAUAGCAACUAUCCAUUACAUGUCAUUUUUUCUUGAAGCUUGUCAAUAUUUUCCCCCAAAAUCUGAUGUCCUUUCCUUGCUCCUCUCAUUUAAUUUGUUUUGUAAUUGGUUUUGCGCUUUUGUACCAUUAGCGUUGUGGAUUCACUAACGGUGGAGUUUGUGUCAUUACCGACACUACUUUGAUGUUCUUCCUGGAUUAACAUUUGAUAUGUUCUGUCUAACUCUGGUAGUAAACUCAUUAUAAGUAUCAUUCUUCUUACUUGAGUGUAAGAUUUACGAAGGCCCUCGAAGAAACCUAUGAGCUUGACUACUUCUUCUUGUCCUGCGGUACAUGCAUAACAAUGACAUGGUACGUUUUCUCCGUAUGCCUUUAAGGAAUCCCAAAUGCUUUCUAUUCGGGUGUAGUAGAUGACUAUGCUAUAAUCCCCUUGCUCACAUUUUGCUAAGUCCCUACGUAGUUGAAAUCUUAUAAGUCCAUUGGUGUUGUUGUAUCUUCUCUUGAGAUUGUUCCAGUACACACUCGUGUGCAUCUAGUAUAUGAAGUUUGGUGCUAUGAUCGUGUCCAAAGCUUUUGUGAUCCAGUCGAUCACGAGAUAUCGUUGCAUCUGCUCCAUUGAUAGUACUUUGGGUCAAUUUCUGGUGGUUCCAUUGAUAAAACUCAAUUUAUUCUUUAUUGACAUGGCUCUUCGCAUGUGGACAACCCAUACUCGAUAGUUUAGUCUAUUCGUCUUGAUCUCUGUCAUCUGCAAGGUGGGAUUGUCGCCUCUGACCAAGAAGAAAGGAUUGUCCAAUUGCACAGACUCAUCAUCUGUCUGUUUCGAUUUGUAGAAUGGAUUUUCAAAUUCGUUCUUCUCCAUUGAUCUCAGUCAUUUCCCAAAGAUCUGACGCCCACGCUCGUUCCGCUCACUUCGAUGGUAGAAGAUAUGGAAUUGCAAACUCGAAGGUCGUUCGUGGUUGUCGUUCUGGAGUUUUUAGGUGUUGCGUCGUUGGACGUGUCGUCGAAGAUUGUUGUCGAAGAUCGAAGAUUGGAAAUUGGAGUCGUCGUGAGGAAUUUUCGAAGAUUAGAGUUAUUGUUGAAGGUUUGGGUCAUUUUUCGAUCUGAUGUGUUCUGUACGCCUGGUUCCUCUUCUCAUUCAUGUAAGAUUUUAACACUGCUCUGAUACCAUGAUAAUUGGAUGAAGAUGAUUCCUUUAUUGUUGUUAACUUACUUGAUACAAAAUAGGUAGCCAGAUGUAGUUAGAUAUCUGAUGAUGAGUUGUGGAAAACGUCGAUGACCUACGGACGAAGACUGUACAAUGACUUGUACUCCACCGUAUAUAGACACGAAUAUAUAAACCGACGGUAAUCGUCGAAAGGUGUCUAAGGUAGAGUACUUUGGUUUAAUGUGAAAAAAGUAAUAUAAGUGGAUGUUGGACUGUUUGAGAACUUGAAAUGAAAAUGUUGAAGAUGAGUUUAAAGAUGAUGUAUAAUGGAUGUAGCUGUAACGGAAAGAUGAGAUC
rnacentral:lncRNA from 1 species